ensembl:rRNA 5S_rRNA 5S ribosomal RNA
GUCUAUGGCCAUACCACCCUGAAUGCACCCGAUCUUGUCUGAUCUUGGAAGCUAAGUAGGGUCGGGCCUGGUUAGUAAUUGGAUGGGAAAAUAAACAUGUUAGACAGGCUGUGUGAAAGUCA